rnacentral:lncRNA from 15 species
CUGAAAUGUGCUAUACAGAUAAAGUUUGACUGAUUGAUAUGAUCUAUAUUAUUAUUAUUAUUAUUAUUAUUAUUUCUUGUAUUUGAACAGGGACAGUGUAUAGACAGUAUAUAACAAGGAGAGAUGCAUUGCACCGGGUUUUAGUCCGUGGGCAGGUAGACGGAACAUACAAUCAAUUAAAAACAGAUACUAAAUUCACAGUUGUGCAAAAUUUCAAUUACAAAGUUAUGAAUACACACAUUCCCACAUCAUUAAGACAAUUUAAAACAAUUAAUUGAUUCUGGUUCCUAUUGAUUCUGGUUCCUACUGAUUCUGGUUCCUACUGAUUCUGGUUCCUACUGAUUCUGGUUCCUAUUGAUUCUGGUUCCUACUGAUUCUGGUUCCUAUUGAUUCUGGUUCCAACUGAUUCUGGUUCCUAUUGAUUCUGGUUCCUAUUGAUUCUGGUUCCUACUGAUUCUGGUUCCUAUUGAUUCUGGUUCCUACUGAUUCUGGUUCCUACUGAUUCUGGUUCCAACUGAUUCUGGUUCCUAUUGAUUCUGGUUCCUAUUGAUUCUGGUUCCUACUGAUUCUGGUUCCUAUUGAUUCUGGUUCCUAUUGAUUCUGGUUCCAACUGAUUCUGGUUCCAACUGAUUCUGGUUCCUAUUGAUUCUGGUUCCUACUGAUUCUGGUUCCUACUGAUUCUGGUUCUCAUUCAUAUUUAAGUUUAGAAGCUUGUUGUGUCGUUUCCUUUGUGGAUUCACUGCGGUUACACUGCGUCCCCAUGAAUGAACUAAAGAGGACAACUAACAGUAAAACAACCUUUCAGUGAAAUAAACACCUUUACUCACACCGAUACUACAGCUGAACCUCGGGGUAACAACUACUGCCCCACAGACACACACACAGAUACUACAGCUGAACCUCGGGGUAACAACUACUGCCCCACAGACACACACAGAUACACACACACACACACACACACACACAUACAUACA